GGAAGGUUGGGUGAGCGGUAAACCGCCGGUUUGCUAAACCGAGGCCAGCACCUAAGCAGGGCUGCGCGAGUUCGAUCCUCGCACCUUCCGCCA
rnacentral:tRNA from 1 species